UACGAAGGGGGCUAGCGUUGUUCGGAAUCACUGGGCGUAAAGCGCGCGUAGGCGGAUUGUUAAGUCAGGGGUGAAAUCCCGAGGCUCAACCUCGGAACUGCCUUUGAUACUGGCGAUCUAGAGUCCGGGAGAGGUGAGUGGAACUCCUAGUGUAGAGGUGAAAUUCGUAGAUAUUAGGAAGAACACCAGUGGCGAAGGCGGCUCACUGGCCCGGUACUGACGCUGAUGUGCGAAAGCGUGGGGAGCAACA
rnacentral:rRNA from 1 species